rnacentral:rRNA from 1 species
AUUGAACGCUGGCGGCAGGCUUAACACAUGCAAGUCGAACGAGUGGCGGACGGGUGAGUAAUGCAUGGGAAUGUAGCUUAUGGAGGGGGAUAACUACGGUAAACUGUAGCUAAUACCGCGUACCAUAGGAUGAGCCCAAGUGGGUUUAGGUAGUUGGUGAGGUAAAGGCUCACCAAGCCGACGAUCGAUAGCUGGUCUGAGAGGAUGACCAGCCACACUGGGACUGAGACACGGCCCAGACUCCUACGGGAGGCAGCAGGAGGGAAGAUUGCGCAAUGGGGGCAACCUGAUGCAGCCAUGCGGCGUGAAUGAAGAAGGCCUUCGGGUUGUAAAUUUCUGUCGGUAGCGAAGCGUUAACUACAGAGAAAGCACCGGCUAAGUCCGUGCCAGCAGCCGCGGUAAUAC